GAUCAUGGCUCAGGAUGAACGCUGGCGGCGUGCUUAACACAUGCAAGUCGAACGAAGCAACUAUCUUGCUGCAAGAGAGUGACUUAGUGGCGGACGGGUGAGUAACGCGUGGGUAACCUGCCUCAUACAGGGGAUAACAGUUGAAACGACUGCUGAGACCGCAUAACCCGCUAGUGUCGCAUGACACGGACGGAAAAUAUUUAUAGGUAUGAGAUGGGCCCGCGUCUGAUUAGCUAGUUGGUAAGGUAACGGCUUACCAAGGCGACGAUCAGUAGCCGACUUGAGAGAGUGAUCGGCCACAUUGGGACUGAGACACGGCCCAAACUCCUACGGGAGGCAGCAGUGGGGAAUAUUGGACAAUGGGGGAAACCCUGAUCCAGCGAACCGCCGCGUGAGUGAAGAAGUAUUUCGGUAUGUAAAGCUCUAUCAGCAGGGAAGAUAAUGACAGUACCUGACUAAGAAGCCCCGGCUAACUACGUGCCAGCCGCAGC
rnacentral:rRNA from 1 species